CCUACGGGAGGCAGCAGUAGGGAAUCUUCCACAAUGGGCGAAAGCCUGAUGGAGCAACGCCGCGUGGGUGAAGAAGGUCUUCGGAUCGUAAAACCCUGUUGUUAGAGAAGAAAGUGCGUGAGAGUAACUGUUCACGUUUCGACGGUAUCUAACCAGAAAGCCACGGCUAAAUACGUGCCAGCAGCCGCGGUAAUACGUAGGUGGCAAGCGUUAUCCGGAUUUAUUGGGCGUAAAGGGAACGCAGGCGGUCUUUUAAGUCUGAUGUGAAAGCCUUGGGCUUAACCGGAGGAGUGCAUUGGAAACUGGGAGACUUGAGUGCAGAAGAGGAGAGUGGAACUCCAUGUGUAGCGGUGAAAUGCGUAGAUAUAUGGAAGAACACCAGUGGCGAAAGCGGCUUUCUGGUCUGUAACUGACGCUGAGGUUCGAAAGCGUGGGUAGCAAACAGGAUUAGAUACCCCUGUAGUC
rnacentral:rRNA from 1 species